rnacentral:rRNA from 1 species
AAUGAACGUUGGCGGCGUGGAUUAGGCAUGCAAGUCGUACGAGAAUCGUAGCAAUACGAGGAAAGUGGCGGAAGGGAGAGGAUUACGUGGGAAUCUACCCUCAGAACUGGGAUAGCGACGGGAAACUGCCGGUAAUACCAGAUAAUGUCUGUGGACCAAAGGUGUGAUUCCGUCUGGGGAUGAGCCCACGUCCUAUUAGCUAGUUGGCAGGGUAAUGGCCUACCAAGGCAAUGAUGGGUAGCGGGUGUGAGAGCAUGACCCGCCUCACUGGGACUGAGAACUGCCCAGACACCUACGGGUGGCUGCAGUCGAGAAUCUUCGGCAAUGAGCGCAAGCUUGACCGAGCGACGCCGCGUGCGGGGUGAAGGCCUUCGGGUUGUAAACCGCUGUCGUAGGGGAGCAAGAGAUGAGGGUACUCCCUCUGAUUUGAGCGAUCCUAGGAGGAAGGACGGGCUAAGUUCGUGCCAGCAGCCGCCGCAGUAA